GUGGGUGUUGUCCAAAAUUGAAUCUUUUCUUCGUCUACAUUGAUUGUCGGUUGUACUAAAGAAAAUAUAGUUCCACAUUGGCCCAAAGGUUUUAACGUAUAGUUUGAUUCAUGUUCAAAAAUUAUUUGUUUUUUUUUUUUUUUUGGAUAUUUUGGUGCUUUUUGCUGCUGUUUGGUUCGAUGAUUUAGUUCUUUCCUUAUAUUUUCUUGAUGUUCUUCUCUCUCAAACCUGGAGGCAUGGGGUUGUUUAUAUUAAUUAUCAGCUGCUUGAUUUAUUUGAUAUCCUGUAGCUCUUGAUUACGUGGUCUAUGUGAAUUUGAUCAAAUUUACUUGAUUCUACAAGAUCACUUAGUAUAAUGUCAUAAAUUGGGGUUUGGGGAGGAUAUAGUGUAAGCAAACUUUACCCCUACCUCAAAGGUUGAGACAUUGUUUCCGAUAGACCCUCAAGUCGAAUAUUCCGGAAGUUCUACUCAACAUUGGUUGAGGCAACUGUUCUAACAUGUUCUCUGGCGUUUAGUCCUUCAUGUGAAACAACUCAGACACUAGUUGUUACAACUGUGAGUUCUGCAACUCAAGAGCUCACCAUAGUUUUUCUUUUGUGAACUUUAAUGGCAGCACAAAUCCAAUAAUCAAGUGGGCAGAACAAGUGAAUAUGGUCUAUCUCAACAUUGAAUUACCCGAGAUGGUCUGGCCUGAUGCACGUAACUUGCAAAUAAAUCUAGCAGAAGGUCUUCUUAAUAUCUCCGCCACUAUUGGGGCAGGUCCUCAAAUAUAUCAAAUGAAUGUGCAUCUUCGAGACCGAGCUACUCUUUAUAGACAAAGAUUACAUCCUGGAGGGAGAGGCGUUGAAUGUACUUUACGAAAGCAAGAGCCUAAUAUAUGGGGAAAGUUAAUUCAAGGAGAUGGUGAAACCCCAAGUUAUGUAAAGAGAGACUGGUGAAAAUGGACAGAUAAUGGUCCAAACAAUGUUACAGGAUUGUGAGGUAUGUGAUUGAAAGUACAAUUGGAGAAAAUCUUAAGAGUUACAGGAAGAAACUAAUUGUUGAAGGGUAAGAGUUUUUGUCUUGUAUUUGUCUUUUUCUCAAUUCAAACACUUCUCAAAUAUAAAAGUAUACUAAUGAUUUUCUUUGGAAGUUUUCAUCGUCAACCUUCUUGUUACCUUCAUUCUUCCCUCCUACCCUCCCUUCCUCCGCUCUUUCUGUGGAAAUUAUUUUCUCAUAACUGUUUCUUUUUUUUCCUUUUAACAUACUGAAGUCACAAGUUUUUGAUUGUAGGACACUCGGUGAUUCGUUAGAUGCCUUAGGAAAGUUAACGGUAGAAGACCCGUUUGAUCAUCACGUUCUAUUUCUGUGGUUUGAAGAUUAAUUCAUAAUUUUCAUUGAGCUUCUAGCAAAAAUUUUGCAGUAAAGUGUUCUGACAUUAGCCCUUUGGCUGUACUGAUUUUGAUCUGUCCAAAGAAUGUUUAUGUUGCUUUGACAGCACAAUGAUAAGAAUCACCGUCAAUAGUCAUUAGAUUCAUCAAUCGUUAAAUUGUUCUUAUUUUUUCCAUUUAUUUUAACUCCACUUGCAUGAUAAAAAAUUCAUCAGUUUUAAUUUUGUUAGCUUCUAAUGAUUUCGAUGAAAGAGGAUAUUGUAAUAGAUAUGAAGAAAUUUAUCGCAAAACUUUCAAGUUAGAGAGAGGAGCAUCAUUUUAGUUCAUCUGGUGCU